rnacentral:rRNA from 1 species
GACGAACGCUGGCGGCGUGCUUAACACAUGCAAGUCGAACGGAAAGGCCCCUUCGGGGGUCCUCGAGUGGCGAACGGGUGAGUAACACGUGAGUAACCUGCCCUUGACUUCGGGAUAACUUCAGGAAACUGGGGCUAAUACCGGAUAGGAAUCCUUGCUGCAUGGUGGGGGUUGGAAAGCUUCGGCGGGUUUGGAUGGACUCGCGGCUUACCGGCUUGUUGGUGGGGUAGUGGCUUACCAAGGCUUUGACGGGUAGCCGGCCAGAGAGGGCGACCGGCCACAUUGAGACUUAGGUACGGCCCAGGCGCCGACGGGAGGCAGCAGGGGGGAAUAUUGCACAAGGGGCGGAGGCCUGAUGCAGCAGCGCCGCGGGCGGUAUAACGGUCUUGGGGUUGAAAACCGCUUUCAGCAGGGGCGAAGCUUGUGGUGACGGUACCUGCAGAAGAAGCACCGGCUAACUACGUG